CACCGCGGUUAUACGAGAGGCUCAAGUUGAUUCUACCCGGCGUAAAAGGUGGCUAGGGUAAUUUUAUAUAGGGCCGAACCCCCUCUAGGCUGUUAUACGCAUCCGAAGGAAUGAAGCACCAACACGAAAGUAGCCCUACCUCCCCCGAACCCACGAAAGCCAUAAAA
rnacentral:rRNA from 1 species